GACAGAGGGUGCAAACGUUGUUCGGAAUUACUGGGCGUAAAGCGCGUGUAGGCUGCUUCGCAAGUCGGGUGUGAAAGCCCUGGGCUCAACCUAGGAAGUGCACUCGAAACUGCGAAGCUGGAGUCCUGGAGAGGAAGGCGGAAUUCUCGGUGUAGAGGUGAAAUGCGUAGAUAUCUGGAGGAAUACCGGUGGCGAAGGCGGCAUCCUGGACCGACAUUGACGCUGAGGAGCGAAAGCUAGGGGAGCAAACGGGG
rnacentral:rRNA from 1 species